AUUGAACGCUGGCGGCAGGCCUAACACAUGCAAGUAGAGCGGAGCGGCGGACGGAUGAGUAAUGCCUAGGAAUCUGCCUGGUAGUGGGGGAUAACGUCCGGAAACGGGCGCUCAUACCGCAUACUAUCAGAUGAGCCUAGGUCGGAUUCGCUAGUUGGUGGGGUAAAGGCAGAACAAGGCGACGAUCCGUAACUGGUCUGAGAGGAUGAGCAGUCACACGGGAACGAAGACACGGUCCAGACUCCUACGGGAGGCAGCAGUGGGGAAUAUUGCACAAUGGGCGCAAGCCUGAUGCAGCCAUGCCGCGUGUAUGAAGAAGGCCUUCGGGUUGUAAAGUACUUUCAGCGGGGAGGCGUUACCCGCAGAAGAAGCACCGGCUAACUCCGUGCCAGCAGCCGCGGUAAUAC
rnacentral:rRNA from 1 species